UACCAGCUCUCCGAGUGGUAGGGAUGAUUAUUGGGCUUAAAGCGUCCGUAGCCGGCUUAGCAAGUUUCCUGUUAAAUUCAGCGACCUAAUCGUUGAGCCGCGGGAAAUACUACUAGGCUAGGAGGCGGGAGAGGUCGACGGUACUUCUGGGGUAGGGGUGAAAUCCUAUAAUCCCGGGAGGACCACCAGUGGCGAAGGCUGUCGACUAGAACGCGCUCGACGGUGAGGGACGAAAGCUGGGGGAGCGAACCGGAUUAGAUACCCGGGUAGUCCCGGCUGUAAACGAUGCGGGCUAGGUGUUGGGGUGGCUACGUGCCACUUCAGUGCCGCAGGGGAGCCAUUAAGCCCGCCGCCUGGGGAGUACGGCCGCAAGGCUGAAACUUAAAGGAAUUGGCGGGGAGCACCACAAGGCGUGAAGCUUGCGGUUC
rnacentral:rRNA from 1 species